UACGUAGGGUGCAAGCGUUGUCCGAAGUUACUGGGCGUAAAGCGCGCGUAGGCGGGUUGGCAAGUCCGCUGUGAAAGCCCGGUGCUUAACGCCGGAGGGUCGGUGGAUACUGCCAGUCUUGAAGGUGCUAGGGGAAGAUGGAAUUACCAGUGUAGCGGUGAAAUGCGUAGAUAUUGGUAGGAACACCAGUGGCGAAGGCGGUCUUCUGGAGCACUCUUGACGCUGAGGCGCGAAAGCUGGGGGAGCGAACGGG
rnacentral:rRNA from 1 species